GAAACUUUCUCCCUUCUCUAUAACCAGAUCUGAUUAUUUUUUGGCUUCAAAUCACUGUGUAGAAUGGAAUCAAAGGGUGAGGAUUCACUCUAGCAUCAAUUUAUCGGUGUAUUAUAGAUAUAGCAGCUGAAUCCAUGAAGAUUGGGUAUGAGUUUAUGGGUGACGGCUAGAGUUACUCUCUAUGAACCCUAAUAUUUUCAAUAUUUUGCUUCUUUCUCAUCGUGUGGAUUGGAGUUCUUGGGGUGAAAUCCUAUCCAGAAUCUAAAUCCGUGAAGAAUGGGUAUAAGUUUAUGUGUGGCCGCCAUGGUGGUGCUCGAUGACCUCCGCCGUCACCUCUUCCGCCGCCAUGGUGGUGCACGGUGACCUCCACCGUCACCCCUUCCGCCGCCACAUGUGACCUCCACUCCUUCCGCUGCCACCUAUUCAGGGCUUAAAACAUGGAAUAAUGAAGGUUUAAGGAGCUGGCAAGUCAACAUAUGGAGUUGAAGUGGAAAAAGUCAACAGGGAUAUUCCCGCGACACGCGGCAUAUGACAUAAAUGGCUCCGCGACCCGCCUGAGAAGUCAAAUGAAGUCGGUUCAGAUAUGCAUCCCCGCGAUACGCGGGGUGUUAAGUGUUUCCUGCCGCAACUCGCGGGCCAAGGUGCCGAGAAGAAAAGGUUUUUAAUCGAUACGAUUGGAUUUUUAGGGUUGUUCGCUAUUUUCUAGAACAAGCAGCCGACAAUCAGGUUUUGGACGAACGUAGAGCAUCAUUUUUCCAUCAUACGCCAUCAUUCAAAUCCAUACUUCAUGUUUUGCAAUUCCCGAAUCAUUACCGAAGCUAGUAUGACAACAAUGAGCGGCUAAACUUCUUAUAACUUCUACUCGGAUGAACUUUUACAUUGUUUGGCAUUAAUUCUUGUUUGCGGAUUCGUGUAACUGGUACAGCUUAACCACUCGUGUUGGAUUCUUGGUAAACGUUUAUUGUGUUUGAAUUAUUUGUCGUUUAUUAAGCGUAUUGGCAA